CCUACGGGAGGCAGCAGUGGGGAAUUUUGCGCAAUGGGGGAAACCCUGACGCAGCGACGCCGCGUGCGGGAUGACGGCCUUCGGGUUGUAAACUCCUUUUCUCGGGGAAGAGAACGGACGGUACCCGAGGAAUAAGGAUCGGCUAACUACGUGCCAGCAGCCGCGGU
rnacentral:rRNA from 1 species